rnacentral:piRNA from 1 species
UGCUUAGUAUUGGGAAACCUUUCUUGGCAU